AGCGAACGUUAGCGGCGGGCCUAACACAUGCAAGUCGAGCGAGAAAGGGACUUCGGUCCUGAGUAAAGCGGCGGACGGGUGAGAAAUACGUAGGUAACCUGCCUUUCAGUGGGGGACAACGGUCCGAAAGGACCGCUAAUACCGCGUACGUCAUCCGGGAUUCCGAUUCUGGAUGGGAAAGCCGGGGCAACCUGGCGCUGGAAGAGGGGCCUACGUCGCAUCAGCUAGUUGGUGGGGUAAUGGCCCACCAAGGCUAAGACGCGUAGCUGGUCUGAGAGGAUGAUCAGCCACACUGGGACUGAGACACGGCCCAGACUCCUACGGGAGGCAGCAGUGGGGAAUAUUGGACAAUGGGCGCAAGCCUGAUCCAGCCACGCCGCGUGAGUGAUGAAGGCCUUCGGGUCGUAAAGCUCUGUGGGGAGGGACGAACCGCCGGUGGCUAAUAUCCAUCGGCAUGACGGUACCUCCUUAGCAAGCACCGGCUAACUUCGUGCCAGCCGCCGCUGUAAAAC
rnacentral:rRNA from 1 species